rnacentral:rRNA from 1 species
UACGGGGGGGGCAAGCGUUGUUCGGAAUUACUGGGCGUAAAGGGCUCGCAGGCGGCCAACUAAGUCGGACGUGAAAUCCCUCGGCUUAACCGGGGAACUGCGUCCGAUACUGGAUGGCUUGAGUUUGGGAGAGGGAUGCGGAAUUCCAGGUGUAGCGGUGAAAUGCGUAGAUAUCUGGAGGAACACCGGUGGCGAAGGCGGCAUCCUGGACCGGCAUUGACGCUGAGGCGCGAAAGCCAGGGGAGCAAACAGG